rnacentral:rRNA from 4 species
AACGAGCGCAACCCUUAUCCUUUGUUGCCAGCGAUUAGGUCGGGAACUCAAAGGAGACUGCCAGUGAUAAACUGGAGGAAGGUGGGGAUGACGUCAAGUCAUCAUGGCCCUUACGACCAGGGCUACACACGUGCUACAAUGGCGCAUACAAAGAGAAGCGACCUCGCGAGAGCAAGCGGACCUCAUAAAGUGCGUCGUAGUCCGGAUUGGAGUCUGCAACUCGACUCCAUGAAGUCGGAAUCGCUAGUAAUCGUGGAUCAGAAUGCCACGGUGAAUACGUUCCCGGGCCUUGUACACACCGCCCGUCACACCAUGGGAGUGGGUUGCAAAAGAAGUAGGUAGCUUAACCUUCGGGAGGGCGCUUACCACUUUGUGAUUCAUGACUGGGGUGAAGUCGUAACAAGGUAACCGUAGGGGAACCUGCGGUUGGA